rnacentral:rRNA from 1 species
UAGGGAAUCUUCGGCAAUGGACGAAAGUCUGACCGAGCAACGCCGCGUGAGUGAAGAAGGUUUUCGGAUCGUAAAACUCUGUUGUUAGAGAAGAACAAGGACGUUAGUAACUGAACGUCCCCUGACGGUAUCUAACCAGAAAGCCACGGCUAACUACGUGCCAGCAGCCGCGGUAAUACGUAGGUGGCAAGCGUUGUCCGGAUUUAUUGGGCGUAAAGCGAGCGCAGGCGGUUUCUUAAGUCUGAUGUGAAAGCCCCCGGCUCAACCGGGGAGGGUCAUUGGAAGCUGGGAGACUUGAGUGCAGAAGAGGAGAGAGGAAUUCCGUGUGUAGCGGUGAAAUGCGUAGAUAUAUGAAGGAACACCCGUGGCGAGGGCGGCUAUCUGGUCUGUAACUGACGCUGAGGCUCGAAAGCGUGGGGAGCAAACAGG